rnacentral:rRNA from 1 species
UAGUGGCGAACGGGUGCGUAAUACGUGAGAAUCUGCCCUUAGGAGGAGUAUAACUGUUGGAAACGACUGCUAACACUCCAUAUGUCGAGAGAUGAAAUAAUUUAUUGCCUAAGGAUGAGCUCGCGCCUGAUUAGCUAGUUGGUGAGGUAAUGGCUCACCAAGGCCACGAUCAGUAGCUGGUUUGAGAGAACGAUCAGCCACACUGGGACUGAGACACGGCCCAGACUCCUCCGGGAGGCAGCAGUGAGGAAUUUUCCGCAAUGGGCGAAAGCCUGACGGAGCAAUACCGCGUGAGGGAUGAAGGAUUUUGGUCUGUAAACCUCUUUUCUCAAGAAAGAAGUUCUGACGGUACUUGAGGAAUAAGCAUCGGCUAACUCCGUGCCAGCAGCCGCGGUAAUACGGGGGAUGCAAGCGUUAUCCGGAAUCAUUGGGCGUAAAGCGCCUGUAGGUUGUUUAAUAAGUCUGUUGUUAAAGACUAGGGCUCAACCCUAGGAAAGCAAUGGAAACUACUA